UACGUAGGUGGCAAGCGUUAUCCGGAAUUAUUGGGCGUAAAGAGCGCGCAGGUGGUUGAUUAAGUCUGAUGUGAAAGCCCACGGCUUAACCGUGUAGGGUCAUUGGAAACUGGUCGACUUGAGUGCAGAAGAGGGAAGUGGAAUUCCAUGUGUAGCGGUGAAAUGCGUAGAGAUAUGUAGGAACACCAGUGGCGAAGGCGGCUUCCUGGUCUGUAACUGACACUGAGGCGCGAAAGCGUGGGGAGCAAACAGGAUUAGAUA
rnacentral:rRNA from 1 species